UACGUAGGGGGCAAGCGUUGUCCGGAUUUACUGGGCGUAAAGCGCGUGUAGGUGGAGGCUUAAGCGUGCCUUGAAAGCCCCCGGCUCAACCGGGGAAGGUGGGUGCGAACUGGGUCUCUUGAGGGCGAUAGAGGGGGGCGGAAUUCCUGGUGUAGCGGUGAAAUGCGUAGAGAUCGGGAAGAACAUCGGUGGCGAAAGCGCUCUACUGGACCGCAACUGACACUCAGGGACGAAAGCUAGGGGAGCGAAUGGG
rnacentral:rRNA from 1 species